UUGUAGAUGCUCCUACUGGUUACAGAGCCGU
rnacentral:piRNA from 1 species